rnacentral:rRNA from 1 species
GAUGAACGCUGGCGGCGUGCCUAAUACAUGCAAGUCGAGCGAACAGACGAGGAGCUUGCUCCUCUGACGUUAGCGGCGGACGGGUGAGUAACACGUGGAUAACCUACCUAUAAGACUGGGAUAACUUCGGGAAACCGGAGCUAAUACCGGAUAAUAUAUUGAACCGCAUGGUUCAAUAGUGAAAGACGGUUUUGCUGUCACUUAUAGAUGGAUCCGCGCCGCAUUAGCUAGUUGGUAAGGUAACGGCUUACCAAGGCAACGAUGCGUAGCCGACCUGAGAGGGUGAUCGGCCACACUGGAACUGAGACACGGUCCAGACUCCUACGGGAGGCAGCAGUAGGGAAUCGUCCGCAAAGGGCGAAAGCUUGACGGAGCAACGCCGCGUGAGUGAUGAAGGUCUUCGGAUCGUAAAACUCUGUUAUUAGGGAAGAACAAAUGUGUAAGUAACUAUGCACGUCUUGACGGUACCUAAUCAGAAAGCCACGGCUAACUACGUG